AGUGGGGAAUAUUGCGCAAUGGGCGGAAGCCUGACGCAGCGACGCCGCGUGGGGGAUGACGGCCUUCGGGUUGUAAACCUCUUUCGCCAGGGACGAAGCUUUUGGUGACGGUACCUGGAGAAGAAGCACCGGCCAACUACGUGCCAGCAGCCGCGGUAACACGUAGGGUGCGAGCGUUGUCCGGAAUUAUUGGGCGUAAAGAGCUCGUAGGCGGUGUGUCGCGUCGGCCGUGAAAACUUGGGGCUUAACUCUGAGCGUGCGGUCGAUACGGGCAUCACUUGAGUUCGGCAGGGGAGACUGGAAUUCCUGGUGUAGCGGUGAAAUGCGCAGAUAUCAGGAGGAACACCGGUGGCGAAGGCGGGUCUCUGGGCCGAUACUGACGCUGAGGAGCGAAAGCGUGGGGAGCGAA
rnacentral:rRNA from 1 species